rnacentral:rRNA from 1 species
UUGCAGGCUGCAACUCGCCUGCAUGAAGUUGGAAUUGCUAGUAAUCGCGAAUCAGAAUGUCGCGGUGAAUACGUUCCCGGGCCUUGUACACACCGCCCGUCACACCAUGGGAGCCGGUAAUACCCGAAGUCAGUAGCCUAACCGCAAGGGGGGCGCUGCCGAAGGUAGGAUUGGCGACUGGGGUGAAGUCGUAACAAGGUACC